rnacentral:rRNA from 1 species
UACGGGGGGGGCAAGCGUUGUUCGGAAUUACUGGGCGUAAAGGGCUCGCAGGCGGCCGACUAAGUCAGACGUGAAAUCCCUUGGCUCAACCAAGGAAUGGCGUCGGAUACUGGACGGCUUGAAUCCGGGAGAGGGAUGUGGAAUUCCAGGUGUAGCGGUGAAAUGCGUAGAUAUCUGGAGGAACACCGGUGGCGAAGGCGGCAUCCUGGACCGGUACUGACGCUGAGGAGCGAAAGCCAGGGGAGCAAACGGG